rnacentral:rRNA from 1 species
UACGUAGGGUGCAAGCGUUAAUCGGAAUUACUGGGCGUAAAGCGUGCGCAGGCGGUGAUGUAAGACAGGUGUGAAAUCCCCGGGCUUAACCUGGGAACUGCAUUUGUGACUGCAUCGCUGGAGUGCGGCAGAGGGGGAUGGAAUUCCGCGUGUAGCAGUGAAAUGCGUAGAUAUGCGGAGGAACACCGAUGGCGAAGGCAAUCCCCUGGGCCUGCACUGACGCUCAGUGCACGAGAGCGUGGGAGCAAC